rnacentral:rRNA from 1 species
UGAUGCAGCCAUGCCGCGUGUGUGAAGAAGGCCUUCGGGUUGUAAAGCACUUUCAGUUGUGAGGAAAAGUGAGUAGUUAAUACCUGCUCACCGUGACGUUAACAACAGAAGAAGCACCGGCUAACUCCGUGCCAGCAGCCGCGGUAAUACGGAGGGUGCGAGCGUUAAUCGGAAUUACUGGGCGUAAAGCGCACGCAGGCGGUUUGUUAAGCUAGAUGUGAAAGCCCCGAGCUCAACUUGGGAUGGUCAUUUAGAACUGGCAGACUAGAGUCUUGGAGAGGGGAGUGGAAUUCCAGGUGUAGCGGUGAAAUGCGUAGAUAUCUGGAGGAACAUCAGUGGCGAAGGCGACUCCCUGGCCAAAGACUGACGCUCAUGUGCGAAAGUGUGGGUAGCGAACAGGAUUAGAUACCCUGGUAGUCCACACCGUAAACGCUGUCUACUAGCUGUUUGUGGCUUUAAGCCGUGAGUAGCGAAGCUAACGCGAUAAGUAGACCGCCUGGGGAGUACGGCCGCAAGGUUAAAACUCAAAUGAAUUGACGGGGGCCCGCACAAGCGGUGGAGCAUGUGGUUUAAUUCGAUGCAACGCGAAGAACCUUACCUACACUUGACAUGCAGAGAACUUUCUAGAGAUAGAUUGGUGCCUUCGGGAACUCUGACACAGGUGCUGCAUGGCUGUCGUCAGCUCGUGUCGUGAGAUGUUGGGUUAAGUCCCGCAACGAGCGCAACCCUUGUCCUUAGUUGCCAGCAUUUAGUUGGGCACUCUAAGGAGACUGCCGGUGACAAACCGGAGGAAGGUGGGG